rnacentral:misc_RNA from 1 species
GUUCCGCCGAGCCCGUCCCUUGGCGGUGGUGUCACUGGAUGCUGGGAAGAGAUGGUGGGAAGAGCCUCCAUCCAUUGGCGCGUCACUAAUUAGACAAGGAGGCCUUGGGCUCCCUUGAGAGAGUCACGGUUUCUCCUCCGUUGACCCGCCCUUCAUUGAACUCCUUUACUUGGAUAUUCAGAGCGCUGGACAGAGAUCACUUGGCGCUAACACCCUCGGAGGUCCUCACGGCGCUCCGUCGGAAUGACACAGUCGGAUUCCCAAGCUGCGAAGGGUGAGGGAGGGACUGCAGCGCAGGAACUGAGGAGGAGAGGCCCGCGCGCCCACUGGAGCCGAGCGGUGAGGAAUAACCGGACCGACCCCCGACGGUGCGUGCCUCACUUUUAACUUUCUGGAACGCACCCACCACUGCCUGGCUCUUUAUUGCAUCAGCGCCCUUUGAAGUUGCUGAAGGGGAGAAUGUUCAUCUCUCUGUGGUUUAUCUGCCCGAGAAUCUUUACAGCUAUGGCUGGUACAAAGGGAAAACGGUGGAGCCCAACCAGCUAAUCGCAGCAUAUGUAAUAGACACUCACGUUAGGACUCCAGGGCCUGCAUACAGCGGUCGAGAGACAAUAUCACCCAGUGGAGAUCUGCAUUUCCAGAACGUCACCCUAGAGGACACGGGAUACUACAACCUACAAGUCACAUACAGAAAUUCUCAGAUUGAACAGGCAUCUCACCAUCUCCGUGUAUACGAGUCAGUGGCUCAGCCCUCCAUCCAAGCCAGCAGCACCACAGUCACAGAGAAGGGCUCCGUGGUCCUGACCUGCCACACAAAUAACACUGGAACCUCUUUCCAGUGGAUUUUCAACAACCAGCGUCUGCAGGUCACGAAGAGGAUGAAGCUGUCCUGGUUUAACCAUGUGCUCACCAUAGACCCCAUCAGGCAGGAGGACGCUGGGGAGUAUCAGUGUGAGGUCUCCAACCCAGUCAGCUCCAACAGGAGCGACCCCCUCAAGCUGACUGUAAAAUAUGACAACACUCUAGGCAUCCUGAUCGGGGUCCUGGUUGGGAGUCUUCUGGUGGCUGCACUUGUGUGUUUCCUGCUCCUCCGAAAAACUGGCAGGGCCAGCGAUCAGAGUGACUUCAGGGAGCAGCAGCCCCCAGCCUCCACCCCCGGGGUCAAGACCUCUUCUCUGUUUUUACAGGAAUUGCUACACUCUGACACAAACAUUUACUGCUGGAUCGACCACAAAGCAGAUGUGGCUUCUUAGGUUCCUCUGGGAGCUGCUCCUGUGGGUUGAUGGAGCGUCCCUGAAGCCCCCAGCCCUGGGGAUGGGGAAGGACAUGGAGCCUGAGCCAGAGAACCAGCUCUGAGUCCUGAGGAGACACAGGCCUGGGGACAGGAAGGGAUGGGGGUCCCUGCUGAAUAUAUAGAGACCUCAACAGACUGCCCCGGGCUCUGGGUGGGCCAAGGCGAAGGCUUCCCAUCACCACAGGAAGUGGGGGCUUGCAGGGAAAGUGAAUGGGCCUAUGGCCCACCCGGGGUCACCUG